rnacentral:rRNA from 1 species
GAUGAACGCUGGCGGCGUGCCUAAUACAUGCAAGUCGAGCGAACAGAUGAGGAUCUUGCUCCUCUGACGUUAGCGGCGGACGGGUGAGUAACACGUGGAUAACCUACCUAUAAGACUGGGAUAACUUCGGGAAACCGGAUCUAAUACCGGAUAAUAUAUUGAACGGCAUGGUUCAAUAGUGAAAGACGGUUUGGCUGGCACUUAUAGAUGGAUCCGCGCCGGAUUAGCUAGUUGGUAAGGUAACGGCUUACCAAGGCAACGAUGCGUAGCCGACCUGAGAGGGUGAUCGGCCACACUGGAACUGAGACACGGUCCAGACUCCUACGGGAGGCAGCAGUAGGGAAUCUUCCGCAAUGGGCGAAAGCCUGACGGAGCCACGCCGCGUGAGUGAUGAAGGUCUUCGGAUCGUAAAACUCUGUUAUUAGGGAAGAACAACUGUGUAAGUAACUAUGCACGUCUUGACGGUACCUAAUCAGAAAGCCCCGGCUAACUACGUG